rnacentral:lncRNA from 1 species
CCUGGUGGCCGGGGUGGCCCUGGGAGAGAACAGAGGGGCCGGCCAGGCAGGGGCCAGGGUCACAUCCAGAGGUGGCCCUGCCUGUGAGGCCUCACCCCCAACCCCUGUGCCCCCCAGGCACUCCCCAUCUCCAUCCCUGUCCUUCCCCCACCCCCACCAACCCCUGUGGCCCCCUGGCCCCAGCCACACUACCUGCAAGCCUGGAAGCCCAUGGUCUCCCUUCUCUCCUUUGACCCCUGGUGGACCCUGGAGGGGGAAGAUGGGCUGGACAGCGAAGCGGAGGGGGCACAGGGCAGGAGGGCAGGGAAGGAGUGACACCUACCACAGGCCCCUGGACUGCACGGCCCUGGGUCCCCGGCGAGCCCUGCUGGCCUCCAGGACCUUCUGGUCCCAUCUGUCCGGGUGGCCCGGGCUCUCCCUGGAGACACAGGCAGCGGGUAGGGCCUGACAAGGUCACGCUUGCCACCCCUCCUGUGGCCCCUCUGGGUCACAGCCAGCCCUCCCAGCCCUCUGGGCAUUCAGACCCAGACCGACAUGGAGACACCUCCAUUAAAGGAGCAGGGGCAGCCCCAGCACCCUCACUGCUCACCCUGGGAGGGUCUGGGAGAACCCACAGCAGGGGUCUGCAGAGCUAGAGAAUGGCAGAGCCAAGCCUGUGAAGCCAGUUCCAACCAACCUCACCCCCAGCCCUCCCCUGCCCAACUCUGGGUUCUAACGGGGUGUGGGGGGCGCUGCAGAAAUCACCGAGGAAAAGCCAGAGACCCCCACAGGCCAACUGUAUGGAAGAGACAGAAAACUUUCUUAAGCCCUGGACCCCAAAACACUAGACUCAGGUUUUAUGGGAAAUCCAACCCUGUGGGGCAGAGGACACUGCUGCUAUUUAAACUCAAAUUAUCUUUUGAACAAAGCAAACUGAGGUUCCAAACACUAUAAAGAAAACUGUGACAGUCUUAUUUAGAAGCAUCAGUGCGAAAUCCAAAACAAAAUGUCAGCAAGCUGAGCUCUGCAGCACAUGGCAUGGAUAACGAGAAUUCAGCGACCACGUCAGAUUUUCGACGGAUGCAGCAAUCAUCCAGUAUUUAGGGAUAUCCUACAAUUAAUAGCUCCAAGACGCACAGUCAUUUCAUUAUGUCCAUAACAGCACUAGAGCUUGUUUAAUGUGCAUUCUUGGUGUUUUAAAUCUAAUAAAAGAAGAGUGGAUGGACUUCACUACCACAUGACAAAAUGCACCUGUCUCCGCUUCCAGGACAGCACUUUAAUGGUCAAAUGCUAGAAGCACUUCUGUUAGGCCAAGAAGAAAAUGAGAGUAUCUGCUACUGCCACUGUUCUCUGACAAAAUUCUGGAGUAUUCACCAACACCAUUAGACAAGAAAAAGAAAUUUGAGUGAUCAAGACUGAAAAGCCGAAGGUGAAGUGUUUAUUUGCAGGUGAUGUCACUGUAAACCUGGAAAAUCCAAGAAAACCACAAAGAAGAUAAUUGAGAAAGAAAACUGGGUACAAAAGUCAUACACAGCGGUCACGGCCAGUGUGAAAAUAAUGAGGUAGAAGCUGUAAUGAGAGAAAACACCUCACUUAUAAUAGCAACAAAAAAGAGGACAUACGUAGGGAUGAAGGAGAACCGAGUGGGUCUGUAGGAAGAGACCAUCCCCACACUGUACUGAGGGCCACAACAGGCCCUGUGAACAAAAGGCAGGAUGGCUGUGUUUUUGGAUGAGAAGAUUCAACAUCAUGAAGACAUCAUCUGUUCCCGAGUAUAUCUAUAAAGCGAAUGCAGUUCCAGUAAAAACACCAACUGAAUUGUUUAGGUUAAACGGAUAAGUCGAUUCUACAGUUCACUGAACAAUGAAAUAAGCAAAGAGAGCCAGGAAAAUUCUGGGGGAAUAAUACAAAAGA